UACGGAGGAUGCGAGCGUUAUCCGGAUUUAUUGGGUUUAAAGGGUGCGUAGGCGGCUUUUUAAGUCAGCGGUGAAAUUUUGCAGCUUAACUGUAACAGUGCCGUUGAUACUGGGGAGCUAGGAUUUGGUUGCUGUGGGUGGAAUGUGUGGUGUAGCGGUGAAAUGCAUAGAUAUCACGAGGAACUCCGAUUGCGCAGGCAGCUUACUAAACUACUACUGACGCUCAGGCACGAAGGCGUGGGGAUCAAACAGGAUUAGAUA
rnacentral:rRNA from 1 species